AGAGUUUGAUCCUGGCUCAGAACGAACGCUGGCGGCGUGCUUAACACAUGCAAGUCGAACGGAAAGGCCCUUCGGGGUACUCGAGUGGCGAACGGGUGAGUAACACGUGGGUGAUCUGCCCUGCACUUUGGGAUAAGCCUGGGAAACUGGGUCUAAUACCGAAUAUGACCAUGCGCCUCCUGGUGUGUGGUGGAAAGCUUUUGCGGUGUGGGAUGGGCCCGCGGCCUAUCAGCUUGUUGGUGGGGUAAUGGCCUACCAAGGCGACGACGGGUAGCCGGCCUGAGAGGGUGACCGGCCACACUGGGACUGAGAUACGGCCCAGACUCCUACGGGAGGCAGCAGUGGGGAAUAUUGCACAAUGGGCGCAAGCCUGAUGCAGCGACGCCGCGUGAGGGAUGACGGCCUUCGGGUUGUAAACCUCUUUCAGCACAGACGAAGCGCAAGUGACGGUAUGUGCAGAAGAAGGACCGGCCAACUACGUGCCAGCAGCCGCGGUAAUACGUAGGGUCCGAGCGUUGUCCGGAAUUACUGGGCGUAAAGAGCUCGUAGGUGGUUUGUCGCGUUGUUCGUGAAAACUCACAGCUUAACUGUGGGCGUGCGGGCGAUACGGGCAGACUUGAGUACUGCAGGGGAGACUGGAAUUCCUGGUGUAGCGGUGGAAUGCGCAGAUAUCAGGAGGAACACCGGUGGCGAAGGCGGGUCUCUGGGCAGUAACUGACGCUGAGGAGCGAAAGCGUGGGGAGCGAACAGGAUUAGAUACCCUGGUAGUCC
rnacentral:rRNA from 1 species